rnacentral:rRNA from 1 species
AGUGGGGAAUUUUGGACAAUGGGGGCAACCCUGAUCCAGCAAUGCCGCGUGAGUGAAGAAGGCCUUCGGGUUGUAAAGCUCUUUUGUCAGGGAAGAAACGGUGAGGGCUAAUAUCCUUUGCUAAUGACGGUACCUGAAGAAUAAGCACCGGCUAACUACGUGCCAGCAGCCGCGGUAAUACGUAGGGUGCAAGCGUUAAUCGGAAUUACUGGGCGUAAAGCGUGCGCAGGCGGUUAUGUAAGUCAGAUGUGAAAUCCCCGGGCUCAACCUGGGAAUGGCAUUUGAGACUGCAUGGCUAGAGUGUGUCAGAGGGGGGUAGAAUUCCACGUGUAGCAGUGAAAUGCGUAGAGAUGUGGAGGAAUACCGAUGGCGAAGGCAGCCCCCUGGGAUAACACUGACGCUCAUGCACGAAAGCGUGGGGAGCAAACAGGAUUAGAUACCCUGGUAGUCCACGCCCUAAACGAUGUCUACUAGUUGUCGGGACUUAAUUGUCUUGGUAACGCAGCUAACGCGUGAAGUAGACCGCCUGGGGAGUACGGUCGCAAGAUUAAAACUCAAAGGAAUUGACGGAAGC